rnacentral:rRNA from 1 species
CAGGGAUUGCCCUAGUAACGGCGAGUGAAGCGGCAACAGCUCAAAUUUGAAAUCUGGCCUCGGCCCGAGUUGUAAUUUGCAGAGGAUGCUUCUGGCGCGGUGCCUUCCGAGUUCCCUGGAACGGGACGCCACAGAGGGUGAGAGCCCCGUAUGGUCGGACACCAAGCCUGUGUGAAGCUCCUUCGACGAGUCGAGUAGUUUGGGAAUGCUGCUCUAAAUGGGAGGUAAAUCUCUUCUAAAGCUAAAUACCGGCCAGAGACCGAUAGCGCACAAGUAGAGUGAUCGAAAGAUGAAAAGCACCUUGAAAAGGGGGUUAAAUAGUACGUGAAAUUGUUGAAAGGGAAGCACUUGUGACCAGACUUGGGCCGGGCGGCUCAUCAGGGGUUCUCCCCUGUGCACUCCGCCCGGCACAGGCCAGCAUCGGUUCUCGUGGGGGGAUAAGACCGUCAGGAACGUAGCACCCUCCGGGGUGUGUUAUAGCCUGGCGGACGAUACCCCCGUGGGGACCGAGGUUCGCGCUCCGCAAGGAUGCUGGCGUAAUGGUCACCAGUGACCCGUCUUGAAACACGGACCAAGGAGUCGUCCAUUAGAGCGAGCGUUUGGGUGUAAAACCCGCACGCGUAAUGAAAGUGAACGCAGGUGAGAGCUUCGGCGCAUCAUCGACCGAUCCUGAUGUUCUCGGAAGGAUUUGAGUAAGAGUUUUAACGGACGGACCCGAAAGACAGUGAACUAUGCUUGUAUAGGGUGAAGCCAGAGGAAACUCUGGUGGAGGCUCGCAGCGGUUCUGACGUGCAAAUCGAUCGUCAAAUAUGAGCAUGGGGGCGAAAGACUAAUCGAACU